GACGAACGCUGGCGGCGUGCUUAACACAUGCAAGUCGAACGGAAAGGCCCUUCGGGGUACUCGAGUGGCGAACGGGUGAGUAACACGUGGGUGAUCUGCCCUACACUUUGGGAUAAGCCUGGGAAACUGGGUCUAAUACCGAAUAGGACCACGCGCUUCAUGGUGUGUGGUGGAAAGCUUUUGCGGUGUGGGAUGGGCCCGCGGCCUAUCAGCUUGUUGGUGGGGUAAUGGCCUACCAAGGCGACGACGGGUAGCCGGCCUGAGAGGGUGACCGGCCACACUGGGACUGAGAUACGGCCCAGACUCCUACGGGAGGCAGAAGUGGGGAAUAUUGCACAAUGGGCGCAAGCCUGAUGCAGCGACGCCGCGUGAGGGAUGACGGCCUUCGGGUUGUAAACCUCUUUCAAUAGGGACGAAGCGCAAGUGACGGUACCUAUAGAAGAAGCACCGGCCAACUACGUG
rnacentral:rRNA from 1 species